rnacentral:pre_miRNA from 1 species
AUCAUACUCCCUCCGUCCGAAAAUACUUGUCCUAGAAAUGCAUAUAAUGGAUGUAUCUACAAUUAAAAUAAGUCUAGAUACAUUCAUCUUUAGGACAAGUAUUUUCGGACGGAGGUAGUAUCAA